rnacentral:tRNA from 1 species
GCAGGAUUAGCUCAGCUGGGAGAGCACCUGCCUUACAAGCAGGGGGUCGGCGGUUCGAUCCCGUCAUCCUCCACCA